UAACAUCAAACUCAGAUGUUGAACGUGAAGGAUAACGUUGCGUCAGCAACGGCCCGUAGGGCGAGGCGAAGCCGAGUCAUCCUGCACGACCCACCA
rnacentral:sRNA from 34 species